rnacentral:rRNA from 1 species
AUGAGUUCCUGCCUUUCCCAUAUCAUCAAGGAUCAUUCCCUUGCAUUCAUUUGCUUGCAAGAAACCCAUAAGAAGAAUUUCCACGAUACUUAUUUUAGGAAGAUUGACUCUUAUAAUGCUUUUGAGUCGGAGUGGGUCCCCUUAGUGGGAAAAUCUGGAGGAAUUUUAUGUGGGGUUAGAAAAGAGAGGUUUGAAGUAGUUGCCUGGAGGAAAGGCAAGUUUAUCCUCCAGGUUACUAUUUAUGACGACAAAAUUAAGAAGAUGUGGACACUAUGCACUGUCUAUGGGGUAGCUCAUGAUUGUGACAAACAAGACUUCCUUAUAGAGCUAGCUGAUUUUUGCACUCAUGUGCAAACUCCUUUACUUAUAGGAGGUGAUUUUAACAUCUUGAGGCAUGAGGGAGAAAAAAAUAAAAAUUGGCAUCGUUCUCUUUACACGGAUAUGUUUAAUUCUAUGAUUAAUACUAUGUGCUUGAAUGAGUCAAUGAGUGGGGGAUUGUACACUUGGACUAACAACCAAUCCCACCCAACUCUAGAAAAAUUAGAUCAGGUGCUUAUGAGCAAUGAUUGGGAGGAUUUAUUCCUCAAGUUAAUAAAAAAGAUAGUCAGAGAUGUUUCAGACCAUAAUGCUCAUUUGCUGUCGUUUGACAAUCAUGUUGUUAGAGUCCCACAACAAAGAGAGUAUAGGUUUGAAAUUAGUUGGCUCAAAUCUGAGUCUCUCCUCCCUUUGGCGGAUAAAAUUUGGAAUCAAUAUGUUAAGGCAACAUACCCUAUUGAUGUUUUAAACAUCAAGCUGAAACGUUUUAAAAAGUUCUUUAAAGGAUGGGGAUCUAACAAGUUUGGUCAUGAGAAAAUUCAAAAGAAAAAGAUUAGAGAGGAGCUGACUAAUAUUGAAGAGGAAGAAGAGAAAGGGGUUCUAGAUCCAGAUAUGUUUUGUAGAAAAACUGAGCUAUUAGUGGAGUUGAAUGAAAUUUUGGCUAAUGAGGAGCUCUUUUUGCUACAACAAUCUAAAGAGAGAUGGUUGCUUAAGGGUGACAGUAACACUGCCUAUUAUCAGAAGAUUCCUAAUGGCAAUAAAAGGAAAAACACCAUUCACUCCUUGAAUGUGGGGGAUCUAGUCAUAGAGGGGACUGGUAAUCUUCUGAACCAUGCCAUUGAAUUCUAUUAAAAUCUAUUUGGGCCUGCACCUGGAAACAUGCUUCAAAUCGACCUUAGUAUUUGGGGCGAGGAGGAGAAACUAGAUGAUGAGGAUAAUGAGGUUUUAUGUAGGCCUUUCUCAGAAGAGGAGGUCAAGAAUGCUUUGUUUAGUAUGAACAGUAAUAGAGCUCCUGGUCCUGAUAAUAUACCAGCUAAGUUUUAUCAGCACUUUUGGGACAUUAUGAAAAAAAGAUAUUAUGAGGCUCUUUACUGCUUUAUACGAAGGAACUCUUGA